GAUGAACGCUGGCGGCGUGCCUAAUACAUGCAAGUAGAACGCUGAAGCUUGGUGCUUGCACCGAGCGGAUGAGUUGCGAACGGGUGAGUAACGCGUAGGUAACCUGCCUCUUAGCGGGGGAUAACUAUUGGAAACGAUAGCUAAUACCGCAUAAAAGUCGAUAUCGCAUGAUAUUGAUUUGAAAGGUGCAAAUGCAUCACUAAGAGAUGGACCUGCGUUGUAUUAGCUAGUUGGUGAGGUAACGGCUCACCAAGGCGACGAUACAUAGCCGACCUGAGAGGGUGAUCGGCCACACUGGGACUGAGACACGGCCCAGACUCCUACGGGAGGCAGCAGUAGGGAAUCUUCGGCAAUGGGGGCAACCCUGACCGAGCAACGCCGCGUGAGUGAAGAAGGUUGUCGGAUCGUAAAGCUCUGUUGUAAGAGAAGAACGAGUGUGAGAGUGGAAAGUUCACACUGUGACGGUAACUGACCACAAAGCGACGGCUAACUACGUG
rnacentral:rRNA from 1 species